rnacentral:rRNA from 1 species
GCUUUACACAUGCAAGUCGAACGGGCUUAAAGAGCUUGCUCUUUAAGUUAGUGGCGAACGGGUGAGUAAUAUAUCGGAACGUAUCCAAUAAUGGGGGAUAACUAAUCGAAAGGUUGGCUAAUACCGCAUACGCCCUACGGGGGAAAGCUAGGGAUCGCAAGACCUGGCGUUAAUGGAGCGGCCGAUAUCUGAUUAGCUAGUUGGUGGGGUAAAGGCCCACCAAGGCGACGAUCAGUAGCUGGUCUGAGAGGACGACCAGCCACACUGGAACUGAGACACGGUCCAGACUCCUACGGGAGGCAGCAGUGGGGAAUUUUGGACAAUGGGCGCAAGCCUGAUCCAGCCAUUCCGCGUGAGUGAAGAAGGCCUUCGGGUUGUAAAGCUCUUUCGCAAGGGAAGAAAGAUUACUCUCUAACAUAGAGUGAUUAUGACGGUACCUUGAUAAGAAGCACCGGCUAACUACGUGCCAGCAGCCGCGGUAAUACGUAGGGUGCGAGCGUUAAUCGGAAUUACUGGGCGUAAAGCGUGCGCAGGCGGUUUUGUAAGUCAGAUGUGAAAUCCCCGAGCUCAACUUGGGAACUGCGUUUGAAACUACAAGACUAGAGUAGGUCAGAGGGGGGUAGAAUUCCACGUGUAGCAGUGAAAUGCGUAGAGAUGUGGAGGAAUACCGGUGGCGAAGGCAGCCCCNCUGGGAUCAUACUGACGCUCAUGCACGAAA